AGAGUUUGAUCCUGGCUCAGGAUGAACGCUAGCGGCAGGCUUAACACAUGCAAGUCGAGGGGUAACAGGGAGAAGCUUGCUUUUCCGCUGACGACCGGCGCACGGGUGCGUAACGCGUAUAGAACCUACCUUUUACAGGAGAAUAGAGCCUUUAGAAAUGAAGAUUAAUGCUCCAUAGUAUCAUUGAUUGGCAUCAAUUGAUAAUUAAACAUUUAUGGGUAAAAGAUGGCUAUGCGUUCUAUUAGCUAGUAGGUAAGGUAACGGCUUACCUAGGCUACGAUAGAUAGGGGCCCUGAGAGGGGGAUCCCCCACACUGGUACUGAGACACGGACCAGACUCCUACGGGAGGCAGCAGUGAGGAAUAUUGGUAAAUGGACGCAAGUCUGAAGCAGCCAUCCCGCGUGAAGGAAGACGGCGGUAUGGGUUGUAAACUUCUUUUAUGUACCAAGAAAGAUAAAUACGUGUAUUUAUUUGACGUUAGUAUAUGAAUAAGCAUCGGCUAACUCCGUGCCAGCAGCCGCGGUAAUACGGAGGAUGCGAGCGUUAUCCGGAUUUAUUGGGUUUAAAGGGUGUGUAGGCGGAUUUUUAAGUCAGUGGUGAAAUCUCUCGGCUCAACCGAGAAACUGCCAUUGAUACUGGAAGUCUUGAGUUUAGAUGAAGUAGGCGGAAUAUGUCAUGGAGCGGUGAAAUGCGUAGAUAUGACACAGAACACCGAUUGCGUAGGCAGCUUACUAAGCUAUAACUGACGCUGAUGCACGAAAGCGUGGGGAGCGAACAGGAUUAGAUACCCUGGUAGUCCACGCCGUAAACGAUGAUCACUCGUUGUUGGCGAUACACAGUCAGCGACUGAGCGAAAGCAUUAAGUGAUCCACCUGGGGAGUACGGUCGCAAGAUUGAAACUCAAAGGAAUUGACGGGGGCCCGCACAAGCGGAGGAACAUGUGGUUUAAUUCGAUGAUACGCGAGGAACCUUACCUGGGCUUAAAUGUAGAGUGCAUAAACGGGAAACUGUUUUUUCCUUCGGGACUCUUUACAAGGUGCUGCAUGGUUGUCGUCAGCUCGUGCCGUGAGGUGUCGGGUUAAGUCCCAUAACGAGCGCAACCCCUAUCAUUAGUUGCCAUCGGGUCAUGCCGGGGACUCUAAUGAGACUGCCAGUGUAAACUGUGAGGAAGGUGGGGAUGACGUCAAAUCAGCACGGCCCUUAUGUCCAGGGCUACACACGUGUUACAAUGGUCGAUACAAAGGGCAGCUACCUGGUGACAGGAUGCUAAUCUCAAAAGUCGAUCUCAGUUCGGAUCGAAGUCUGCAACUCGACUUCGUGAAGUUGGAUUCGCUAGUAAUCGUAUAUCAGCAAUGGUACGGUGAAUACGUUCCCGGGCCUUGUACACACCGCCCGUCAAGCCAUGGAAGCUGGGGGUACCUGAAGUCUGUAACCGUAAGGAGCGGCCUAGGGUAAAACUGGUAACUAGGGUUAAGUCGUAACAAGGUA
rnacentral:rRNA from 1 species